rnacentral:rRNA from 1 species
CAUGCAAGUCGAGCGCAGGAAAUAAACAGAACCCUUCGGGGUAAUGUUUAUGGAAUGAGCGGCGGGACGGGUGAGUAACACGUGGGCAACCUGCCUGUAAGAUCGGGAUAACUCGCGGAAACGUGAGCUAAUACCGGAUAACACUUUUCAUCUCAUGGUGAGAAGAUAAAAGACGGUUUCGGCUGUCACUUACAGAUGGGCCCGCGGCGCAUUAGCUAGUUGGUGAGGUAACGGCUCACCAAGGCGACGAUGCGUAGCCGACCUGAGAGGGUGAUCGGCCACACUGGGACUGAGACACGGCCCAGACUCCUACGGGAGGCAGCAGUAGGGAAUCUUCCGCAAUGGACGAAAGUCUGACGGAGCAACGCCGCGUGAGUGAUGAAGGUUUUCGGAUCGUAAAACUCUGUUGUUAGGGAAGAACAAGUUGGGUAGUAACUGACCCAACCUUGACGGUACCUAACCAGAAAGCCACGGCU